rnacentral:rRNA from 7 species
ACGAACGCUGGCGGCGUGCUUAACACAUGCAAGUCGAACGAUGAAGCCCUUCGGGGUGGAUUAGUGGCGAACGGGUGAGUAACACGUGGGCAAUCUGCCCUUCACUCUGGGACAAGCCCUGGAAACGGGGUCUAAUACCGGAUAACACUUACCUCCUCCUGGGGGUGGGUUAAAAGCUCCGGCGGUGAAGGAUGAGCCCGCGGCCUAUCAGCUUGUUGGUGGGGUAAUGGCCUACCAAGGCGACGACGGGUAGCCG